AGCAGCCGCGGUAAUUCCAGCUCCAAUAGCGUAUAUUAAAGUUGUUGCAGUUAAAAAGCUCGUAGUUGAAUUUCGGGAUCAAAUUGUCGGUCGUGCCUCGGUACGAACUGGUAUUAUUGGUUCCUACCUUCUGAAGAACCGCGAUGUCAUUAAUUUGGUGUCGUGGGGAAUCAGGACUGUUACUUUGAAAAAAUUAGAGUGUUUAAAGCAGGCUUACGCUUGAAUACAUUAGCAUGGAAUAAUGAAAUAGGACGUUUGAUUCUAUUUUGUUGGUUUCUAGGAUUGACGUAAUGAUUAAUAGGGAUAGUUGGGGGCAUUAGUAUUCAAUUGUCAGAGGUGAAAUUCUUGGAUUUAUUGAAGACUAACUACUGCGAAAGCAUUUGCCAAGGAUGUUUUCAUUAAUCAAGAACGAAAGUUAGGGGAUCGAAGACGAUCAGAUACCGUCGUAGUCUUAACCAUAAACUAUGCCGACUAGGGAUCGGAUGAUGUUAAUUUUUUAAUGACUCAUUCGGCGCCUUAC
rnacentral:rRNA from 1 species